AUCAAGAAGAAGUACAAAAUGCUGAGCUGGAGAUGCUGUUAACUUGCAGUUCAUAAUAUUGUGAAGUUUUGUUGUGUUUUGUGUUCCGUUUCCCAGAGCUGUUUGUUCUGGACUCUUAUUUCACCAUAUUUAAGUAUGUGAUGCAACAGAGAAAAUACUACAGGGUGAAUUGGUGCCCAACCAUACUCAGGAGAACAUCUGGAGAAGAUAGAACAGGGAUGGUGCAGAUUCAGCUUGCAGAUUCUGCUGGCAGAAAUAACAGAUAAGAAAACAGUUAUCAAACAGAAGUCUGUUCUUCUACCCCUGCCCCCUUUGUGUGGAGAAAUAGGAGAAAGCAGGGGAGAGCAAAAUACUUCAUGUUUCAGAAGAACCUAGACAGAUUUCUCCAAAUGCAUCUCUACUUGUUUGUCAUUCACACUGACGUAUGGACCCCCUUCCCUCCCCUCUUUUUGGUAAAGUGACAGUGAGAUUCAGAUGCCUAUACGAGAGCUUGCAGCAGCUGUUUUGGAUGUCCUCAAGAUGUAAGAAGGUCCCAGACAGAGCAGGCCGAUGUGAUGGAGGAUGAAAGAAAAUUGACCUUCUGGAGAUUUGAUUGGGCACCAAGCAGGACAACAUGAGGCAAGUGAAUCCUAACCUUUAUUGUGUUCAUAUUCUCCUAAUGAAAAAAUGCUGUAAUUCAGCAUUAAUAAUGAGAUACAGCAUUAGCUAAACAAGAUCAUACGAUCUUGUGUGAAGCAACUGUACCUCAAAAUCAGCUCUAGUGACAGUCAAAGUGGGACUUACAAUACACCAGUCUACAACUUCCAACAAAGGUGGCACAAGCCUUGCGAUACUUCCUGUAUCUGCGAGGAGAUCUCAAAUCCAUCCAUACAAGGUACAGUGGCACUGUUAUACUUGGCUUUCAUCCUAGCAACUUGAAGCACUUCAUUACAAAAUGUUUCACAGCUUCUGAAGAGUAUAAAACACUGAAAUGAGCUAUCGGGCAUAUUUCAUCUACUACUAGCUGGUAUAUUCCAGGAAAGACCUCUUAUUCUCAAUAGUGGGUAGAAGCAGCAAAUGGGAGAGAGUAAAGCAUCUGCAUACAAAAGCCAGUUUAAACUUCCUAAAGUGGGGAGAAAAAAAAACCACAAAAAUAUGAUGAGAUUGAAAACUUUCUUUUUCUUUAAUGCAAUAGUAGCUAUGAAUAGAUAAAGCAGCCUGCAAGCUUCUGACCAUACUGUAGCACGGGAGGAUAACUGCCUUGCAUGGGAAAUCAAUGAUGCUGUAGCACUGCACUUUUGCUUUGGAGGAACACUGCUGGAAGCACCUAAGAUUCAUAUUGCUCACUGCCUUUCUUUCCUCACUCCAGAUAUGUCUCUUAAUUUUCCACCACUAGGUAAAUAAUAAAGGACCUGCAUAUAACAGAGAUUUAAUAAAUAGCAAAGAUGUGGGAUAUAUGAAAGAUUGAGUGCAAAAAAAAAAAAGAUUCUGGAUCUGUUCAAUUAGUUUGAUUAUAUUUUAUUAGAAAGCUCAGCCAAUACAAAUGAUUCUUGUUCACUACCAGCCAGUUUAAAGUGUGGUGUUUCAUUGUAAUUCAUAUAGAUGUUUUCUGUCCAGUUAAAUAUAAACUCCUUGGGUAAGUACUGCUACUUUUCGUGUAUUGAAUGUUAAGAAGCAUAAGCAGCACCAGCAAUGCUUCAGUGUAAGUCAAUAUACAUACACGUUUACAUUUCAGACAUUAAAAGGAAAAAUUAAAUUAAUGUACCAGUUGCAUUUUAAGCUCUACUUGCUUUUAGUAGUAAUUGAGAUGAAUGGUUAAUUUAAAUCUAUUUCCAAAGUUAAGGCUGAAAGCAUUUCAUUUAUAUUCAACAAUAACCAACAUAGUAUGGCAUUUUACCAAAACAUGGGACACCUCAAAAACAGAAGACUUAUUCGAUUUCUUGUUGACAGAAUUGACAGCUCUUUGCUACUGUUGUUGCCAAAAUGAAUAUGCUAAUUUACUUUUUAAUUCUGUAGCAAGUGUGAAAAUACUCCACUGUGAAAAAUAAAAAUACUUUUUUAUUAUGUAUCUUAAACGGAAAUGUCUUCGAACAUUGUAUUUUUAGUUAUACAUAGUGAAUAAAAAAGCUGCUGGUGGCAGUAUUUUUAAGUAGCUGACUUCAUGACUUAAUUAAAUGCAGAACAGUAUUCUGGAUAAGUUUAAAGUAGAUAGCUAACGUAAAUCAGAUGAUAAAACUGGCGUGCAUGAAACAAAUAAUGGCUAAGACAUCUUAAUAUUCUCAAUUUCUAUAUAUCUUACUAUUGUAAUCUUAACUUGAGCAUGUGUUAACUGGGCAGACAUAUUCAGCAAUGGUCUUCUCGGAGCCUCCACAGAGCUAGGCAGCACAUAAUCACCACUGCUCUCACUUCUGUAAUCCGCAGCACAGGCAGGCUACGUGUUGUUUUCAUAUAGGAGUUCUCCAGAAGAGACAAACCAGAAGCCAUUUGAAAUUCUGCCCUACUGAAACCUGCAGUUGUAUUGCUACUGUAGUACUUCUGUGGCUUUAUGGAUGGAAAACAGAAUACGUACCACUCUGACUAAACCUAUGGGACUGGAAACAUUAGAAGUGCACAUGCUGUAUUUCAAGAGAGUCUUUUUCUUUUAAUGAACAAGUACGAAUAUUGAUUACCCAAACAGCAAAAUGUACAAAACAAUGCAUGUGUUUGCAAGUUAGAAGAUAGAGGAAAGUUUAUGAGGUUAGAGGUAAAAAAAUACUUUUUAAAUGUGUAUGACUCAAAUAUAUUCUGUGAAAAUUGUAUUUUUCACUGUAGCUUUUAAAUUUAAGUGCUGUUAAGAACAAGAAACAAAAUAGAUAAAUUUUAUGUUCAAUAUAUCUCAAUUUUGUCUUCUCUACAUAAUUGUUGGUAAUAUUUUUUCUAUGCUGAGAUUUCUUUCUUUCCCUCUUUCUUCCUGUUUUCUGCCAGAAGUGGCAUAUGAGAAACAUCAUUUUCAUCUUGCACUGAAGAACGUGAAAUGAAGCCAGUGCAAACCCUACUUCUCUAGAAGGUUCUAGUUCACUAUAGAGGUUUUUUCAGGAGCCUGGCAGAACUAUCACUCUCUCUGGGUACAGAUAUCUUUGCUCAGUGCUAGAACUUUCAUCUUUUCUGAAUAAAAGUCCAUGUAUCAGGACAUAAAGAAGCAGUAUGUACAGACACUGCACAUCAGUGGAAAUUACCUACUUAAAGUAAAAUAUAGUAGGUCAUCUGUGGUAAUAUUGAACACUGAUGGAACACACCCUACAAUGUACUGAUGUGUAUCUUUGUCGUGCAUAACUAUGACUAUUUGGUACUCACAGGGAAGCCAAACACAGGGAAUAGCCAUCCCUUCACUAACUACUGAGAGUUAAAUGAAAUGAUUAAUACUUAACAAAACAGUUCCAUAGAUAGGUACACCUGGCAUAGAGAGUAGAUAGGUAAGUUUUUAGCAUGAACAUUUAAAGAACUUGAAGUGGUCAUUGGAACAAACUCACAUACGCGCUACUAUGGCUUCUGUUUGAAAAGUUAGCUGUCAGUAUGGCUUAACAUCAAAGGAAAUAGCUUUUCAACAGUUGUCAAGCAUCACAGACUCUGAAUAUUGUUGAUGUUCUUGAUAUUUUCAGUCUGGCUCUAGACAUUACUCUGUUCAUAUUUUAGUCACCUUGGAGAGAUGAAUGAAUUUCAGAUAUCCAUCUGGUAGUGGCCUCAUCUACUGCAUCACAGUUACAGCUGCUACUGUCUUGUACACUGUGAAUGAAUCGACAACAGUCCUGGAGUAGUAUUUUUCCUCGGAUGACUGUAAGGGGUAAGGGAAGAACUGCUUCCUUUCCUGAAGAAGGGUAAUAUAGCACGUUGUUGCCUUCCCGUUAUAGAAAGCAUUUCAGGAAGCUGAUGACAUCCAACUGUAUAUGCCUACGAUUAUGUCAACAGAGAUGCUUUAACUAAAAGAAUGUUUCCCAGUAGUCAUCAGCCUUCAGCACUCCUACUUCCCAAGCUGCUAUCAGAUAUGAACACUAUAGCAGCAAUUGAAUUUGCUUUUUACGAUCAGUGCAAGGCCUUUAUUGCUGUAGACAGACUGCUGCUGGCAUUAUCAUAUUUUUUCUUAUUUCAAGAUUAGAUUAAUGCAAUAAAACUUCACCUUUAAAAAUAAGCUGCCGGAGAAUACUACAGUUUAUAUGACAUGAGAAAGACUACCUAGAUAAAAUGCAGGAAUUAAAGAUAAGGACCUCUACUCGUGUUCAGACAGAAACUAAUGAGUUAUGUAGUUACCCGAAGAACCUUGACAAGUCAUAGGACCUGUUCAGUGUCCAACAAACAAACUAAAACAACAACAAACAUGCCUGCCCCCACCACUACUAUACAAUCUCCCUCCCAAC
ensembl:lncRNA